rnacentral:rRNA from 1 species
UACGGAGGGUGCGAGCGUUGUCCGGAUUGACUGGGCGUAAAGAGCUCGUAGGCGGCUUGGCAAGUCGGGUGUGAAACCUCCAGGCUCAACCUGGAGACGCCACUCGAUACUGCCAUGGCUAGAGUCCGGUAGGGGACCACGGAAUUCCUGGUGUAGCGGUGAAAUGCGCAGAUAUCAGGAGGAACACCGGUGGCGAAGGCGGUGGUCUGGGCCGGCACUGACGCUGAGGAGCGAAAGCGUGGGUAGCAAACAGG